UAUUGCAAAUGAUGAGACGUUCUGUGGCAAAGACUUGCACAAUUUAAAAUCAGUUACUUCUGGUGGCUGCUCGUGGACGGUUGUUUUAAGCGGACUAAAUAAAAAGGAAUAAAAAAAGUGGUAUUAGAGAAAAAGCAAGAAGAGCGAAAAGGAUAUAAAUUAAGCUCUUUUUAUAUGAAAAAAGAGAUUUUUUCCAUUCUCUUAAAGGUAAAAGAAAUGCAGUUAUUAAAAAGAUAAGAGAAAAAGGUGUUUUAUUAAAAAGAGCAUUACAAAGAUAACAGUGUUUAAUUGAGAAGAAAUGCAUUAAAAUGAAAUUAAAAUAAACAACAGCAACAAAAACAACAAAAUAUAUAAAAAUAUUAAACAACAAAUUUAGCAGUUUGAGAUAACGGUAAAACAUUUAUAAAGGAUUGCUCUCGCAGUCUGUCGUGUUGAAAACGUUGAACUAGACGGUUGCUUGCUGAGGCUGGUCUGUUGGUGUUAGAAUAUAUUAAAUGAUUAAAAUUAAAGAAGUUAAA